rnacentral:misc_RNA from 1 species
UCCGUUUUGUCAACGGCAGUCUGGCCAGAGUCCUCUUGCGUAGUAACUGACCAUAAGGGUUGCGCUCGUUGCGGGACUUAACCCAACAUCUCACGACACGAGCUGACGACAACCAUGCACCACCUGUCUCUGCGUCCCGAAGGAAACACAUAUUUCUAUGUGCGUCGCAGGAUGUCAAGACUUGGUAAGGUUCUUCGCGUUGCGUCGAAUUAAACCACAUACUCCACUGCUUGUGCGGGCCCCCGUCAAUUCCUUUGAGUUUCAACCUUGCGGUCGUACUCCCCAGGUGGAUUACUUAUUGUGUUAACUGCGGCACUGAAGGGGUCAAUCCUCCAACACCUAGUAAUCAUCGUUUACAGUGUGGACUAC